rnacentral:rRNA from 1 species
AUUGAACGCUGGCGGCAUGCUUUACACAUGCAAGUCGAACGGCAGCGCGGGCUUCGGCCUGGCGGCGAGUGGCGAACGGGGGAGUAAUGCAUCGGAAUGUGCCCAGUAGUGGGGGAUAGUCCGGCGAAAGCCGGAUUAAUACCGCAUACGACCUGAGGGUGAAAGCGGGGGACCGAAAGGCCUCGCGCUAUUGGAGCGGCCGAUGUCGGAUUAGCUAGUUGGUGGGGUAAAGGCUUACCAAGGCGACGAUCCGUAGCUGGUCUGAGAGGACGACCAGCCACACUGGGACUGAGACGCGGCCCAGACUCCUGCGGGAGGGAGCAGUGGGGAAUUGUGGACAAAGGGGGCAACCCUGAUCCAGCCAUGCCGCGUGCGGGAAGAAGGCCUUCGGGUUGUGAACCGCUUUUGUUCGGGAAGAAAUCCUCUGGGCUAAUACCACGGGGGGAUGACGGUACCGGAUGAAUAAGCACCGGCUAACUACGUG